UGUUGGUGAUUGACGAUGCCGAGAAACAAUCUGCGGAAGACAGAAAAACCCUCCGUGCUGUUCAUGGAGUUCUCCUUGUCCACAGGUGUAUUUUUUUUUCAUUAGAUGUCAAAAAGAACAUUUCCAUGAUGUAGAAUGUAAAGCUGUGUCGAUGUUAUCUACUUUUCAUCUCACUGCCAGCUAAAAAGUUGACAGCUGCAGCAUCCUCUGUUGACCCUGCGGGUGCUCGCCUUAUUAACCUGUUCGCUGAUGGAUGAAGUGCGGCAGCCACGUGACAAGCAUCUGAAUGUGAUGGGAGGAGGGAAACAAUAAAUUACCGGCGGUUGUUUUGUAUUUUGACACAGGCGAAGGUCUACAAUCAUUACAGAAUGUUUAUAGAUCAUACACGUCGGUGUGUCAUAUUGGCAAAUGUGUAAAUAUUUGUUCUGGGAUACAGAAGGGGAACCUACGACAGUUUUAGAAGUCCUUUGGCUGUUGGAGAACUGUGAUGACAGCUUUGGGCCUGGUAUAGCUUUAUAUGGGGUUAAAAACACAAUUUUAUCUGUUGAUCACAUCCGUAGCAGCACACUGUACAUGCUGAUUACAGGGUACAGGACCUUCUCAUGGUCUUUGGCUGGUCUGUCCAUCUGUCUGUCUGUCCAUCUCUAGGACUUCCACCGACAAGGACCCCGUCAACACACUCAGCACGUGCUGCCGCGGGUCAGAAAUGUCUGUCCAAUGCUGUCUUUCACUCAUCACCUCCGGCUCCAGGAAAGAAAGAAAAGAUGCUCUGUGUGCCGAGUGGAUUCUCGUGCCUACAGGCAGCGCACGCAGACUGCACGUGUCGGUAGAGAACACGUGACAGUCACAAAGUCUUAUUCAUCGUCCUCACUCCCUCCACCCCGUGAAAAACAUACAAAAAAAAUCAAGACAAUAAAGUACAUGACCUUUGACUCUGCUCAAGGGGCUGCUCCUCUCACUUCGGAAGGAGGUGAAGUGCUCUUGUUGUCUUCCUCUUGUCUUCCUCUUGUCUUCCUCCACACCUGUGUUCACAGUCUGUCCACUGAGUGAAGUGCUUAUUGUCCUCGCACGUGUUGCUGUGCUUGCAAGUCAGUCUGACAGAUAAUAUUUAUGGCGAGCUAUCCUCCGGCAGUUUGUGCGCCAUGUUGACUACAGUAUUGUGGUUGAGAGACGGUGGUGUUGACAUCCUCCCAUCCAACCCCGAGAGUACUUCAUACACACAGGAAAUGACGCAAAGCGUACUUCCGCUCUGGUUUCCCCAAACAUCUGGAUUCAGGAAAGAAGCCCCAAGUCUUUGCUUACCAAUGCAUGUCCGAAACAUGGCGUGUGACAAACACCAUCACCAACAAGAUUCAUGACAUUCGUCAACAGAUGUUUACGCCACAACCUCAACAUCAGAUGGCCCGAGAAGAUCACCAAUACAGACCUGUGGGAGAAAACCAACCAAAGACCUGCCAGUCAAGACAUCGAGAACCGGAAGUAGGGCUGGAUUGGUCACACCCUUUUUGAAUCCGUCUCACAAUUUAACAAGACAAGUUCUGAACUGGACCCCACAGGGAAGCUCAAGGUUGGGAGACCCAGACAGACACGGAGGAGAUCGGUCCACAGCGCGGAGGAUCCUUAUGGUUGUAGUCCAAUGUUCCACUGGGGACAAACAGCUUCAAGACGAUUUCUGUGUCGGGUGACCUGCUCCUCCUUUCUAGCAUGGGAUUUUUUGUGCUUUAGGUUUAUUUUGGGGGUUGAUAUAAAUUUAUCUGUGUUUAUUGUUCAUGAAGUACUUUUCUUAUUUUUUUUAAUUCUUCAUUUAUUACCUUUCUUUAAUACUCGAGUAACGCUUAAUUAUAAUGUUAUAACAGUUUAAAGUCCAUUUUUAUUUUUUAGUUUAUGAUUGGGCUUCUGUGCUUCAGCGGUAUUUGUGUUUCGCAAGACAUUAAGAUUUAUUUUAAUUUAUUUUUAACGGUUUUUAAAGAAGCCUGUGUUUUCCAGUAUUUACAUUUCUCCCGUUGGGUUCCACAAAUCUAGAAUUGCUUUGGAUUGCCAUAUUUCUUUGGGUGGGAUAGAGCAUAUAUAUAUAUGUUUAAUAUCAGUUUAUAGAUAAGACCCUAUUCUAUUUCUUGUUUGUUUUCAUUGCACUCAUGAUCGCAUGGGAUUUACUGUCGCCAUUGAUGCCCGUUAGAGAAUAUUUAUACAUAAUAAAGUGUUCUCC